rnacentral:ncRNA from 1 species
UUUAUUCCUCCGUCCUGGAAGCUCCUCAUCUUUUUGAGCAAUUGAUUUGGAGAAAUGGACUACAUGUCAAUUUACCAGUACAUUAUUUAGAUUUAUUUUAAGUCAUAAAAUUCAACUUUGACAUUAAGUAGGAAACGAAAUAUGAAAAGGUGGUGAAAACUUUAAGUUAAAGAUAAAUUGACUAUCUAUA